rnacentral:rRNA from 1 species
UACAGAGGUCCCGAGCGUUGUUCGGAUUCAUUGGGCGUAAAGGGUGCGUAGGCGGCGGGGCAAGUCUGAUGUGAAAUCCCGGGGCUCAACCCCGGAACUGCAUUGGAUACUGCCUUGCUAGAGUACUGGAGAGGAAACUGGAAUUUACGGUGUAGCAGUGAAAUGCGUAGAGAUCGUAAGGAAGGCCAGUGGCGAAGGCGAGUUUCUGGACAGUAACUGACGCUGAGGCACGAAGGCCAGGGGAGCAAACGGG